GGGGAAAGGUAGCUUGCUACUGGACCUAGCGGCGGACGGGUGAGUAAUGCUUAGGAAUCUGCCUAUUAGCUGGGGGACAACGUUCCGAAAGGAACGCUAAUACCGCAUACGUCCUACGGGAGAAAGCAGGGGAUCUUCGGACCUUGCGCUAAUAGAUGAGCCUAAGUCGGAUUAGCUAGUUGGUGGGGUAAAGGCCUACCAAGGCGACGAUCUGUAGCGGGUCUGAGAGGAUGAUCCGCCACACUGGGACUGAGACACGGCCCAGACUCCUACGGGAGGCAGCAGUGGGGAAUAUUGGACAAUGGGCGGAAGCCUGAUCCAGCCGUGCCGCGUGUGUGAAGAAGGCCUUUUGGUUGUAAAGCACUUUAAGCGAGGAGGAGGCUCCUUUAGUUAAUACCUAAAGAGAGUGGACGUUACUCGCAGAAUAAGCACCGGCUAACUCUGUGCCAGCAGCCGCGGUAAUACAGAGGGUGCGAGCGUUAAUCGGAUUUACGGGGCGUAAAGCGUGCGUAGGCGGCUUUUUAAGUCGGAUGUGAAAUCCCUGAGCUUAACUUACGAAUUGCAUUCGAUACUGGAAAGCUAGAGUAUGGGAGAGGAUGGUAGAAUUCCAGGUGUAGCGAUGAAAUGCGUAGAGAUCUGGAGGAAUACCGAUGGCGAACGCUGCCAUCUGGUCUAAUACUGACGCUUAGGUACGAAAGCAUGGGGAGCAAACAGGAUUAGAUACCCUGGUAGUCCAUGCCGUCAACGAUGUCUACUAGCCGUUGGCGCCUUUGAGGCUUUAGUGGCGCAACUGACGCGAUCAGUAGACCGUCUGGGGAGUACGGUCGCAAGACUAAGACUCAUAUGAAUUGACGGCGAA
rnacentral:rRNA from 1 species